rnacentral:rRNA from 1 species
CCUACGGGAGGCAGCAGUGGGGAAUAUUGGGCAAUGGAGGAAACUCUGACCCAGCGACGCCGCGUGCGGGAUGAAGGCCUUCGGGUUGUAAACCGCUUUCAGCAGGGAAGAAGCGAAAGUGACGGUACCUGCAGAAGAAGCACCGGCUAACUAUGUGCCAGCAGCCGCGGUAAUACAUAGGGUGCAAGCGUUGUCCGGAAUUAUUGGGCGUAAAGAGCUCGUAGGUGGUUCGUCACGUCGGAUGUGAAAAUCUGGGGCUUAACCCCAGACCUGCAUUCGAUACGGGCGAGCUUGAGUAUGGUAGGGGAGUCUGGAAUUCCUGGUGUAGCGGUGGAAUGCGCAGAUAUCAGGAGGAACACCAAUGGCGAAGGCAGGACUCUGGGCCAUUACUGACACUGAGGAGCGAAAGCGUGGGGAGCGAACAGGAUUAGAUACCCUGGUAGUCCCGACGACCGUAACGGUAGGGCGACUAGUUGUGGGUACCGUUCCGUACGGUCGUCUCGCGACGCACGCUACGACAUAAGUCGCCCGCCGUCGGGAGGUACGAGUCGCGAGAAUUAAACUAACAAUAGAAGUUAGACGGCGUGAGACGUGCCGACGACGACGACGAGGGAGGUUAGG